rnacentral:rRNA from 1 species
GAUAAAACGCUGGCGGCGCACAUAAGACAUGCAAGUCGAACGGACUUAACCAUUAGUUUACUAUUGGAGCGGUUAGUGGCGGACUGGUGAGUAACACGUAAGCAACCUGCCUAUCAGAGGGGAACAACAGUUAGAAAUGACUGCUAAUACCGCAUAUACCUAAGUAUCGCAUGGUACAAUAGGGAAAGGAGCAAUCCGCUGAUAGAUGGGCUUGCGUCUGAUUAGAUAGUUGGUGGGGUAACGGCCUACCAAGUCGACGAUCAGUAGCCGGACUGAGAGGUUGAACGGCCACAUUGGGACUGAGAUACGGCCCAG